UGCCUGUCUAACCCAAAAUUAGAAAAAUGGGAGGGAAAAUAAGGGCUAUAAAAACUGUUCUAGGAGGAAGUGGUUGGAGAGAAAAGUUGGGGAGUAAGGUUGACAUGCAUGUGUGGAGCAUUCAUUGGUUCCCAGAUUGUAGAAGAACAAAAGUCAACACAUGGCUUCCCUGGCAGAAGAGAUACGAAGUCCCAGAGACACAGAAUCUUCAUCUGAGACAGGAAGAAGAUGCAGCAAAUUCUCAGACCCAUAUCUUAAUUAAAUGGGAUUUAUUGCCAUAUUGGUGAAGAGUGAUAUAUAGGAAUGCAAUUUCAGCCAUAUCAACACCAAAAGCCAACUAUAAGCAGAACAUCACAGUAACUACAACUUAUAGAUACCUAUUGCCAUCUACAUAUAUUAAAUUAAUUCUAAACUUACAUUGAGGAUUUUAAAAGGCAGAAAAUAAAUCAAACUUUGAAGGUACUAUAAACACUAUUUUGAAUAA